GGCUCUGAAGAGGCGGGAGUCUGAGUUGUCCGAAUUUGUGCGAGUCGAGGGACGGAGGAGGCUUCUUGACUCAUGAACGGCUCCAGGCUGGCAAC
rnacentral:SRP_RNA from 1 species